CCUACGGGGGGCUGCAGUGGGGAAUUUUUCGCAAUGGGCGCAAGCCUGACGAAGCAACGCCGCGUGGGGGAUGAAGGUCUUCGGAUUGUAAACCCCUGUCGACCGGGACGAAGGUACCCGACCUAACACGUCGGAGUAUUGACUGUACCGGUGGAGGAAGCCACGGCUAACUCUGUGCCAGCAGCCGCGGUAAUACAGAGGUGGCAAGCGUUGUUCGGAGUGAGCGGGCGUAACCGGCGCGUAGGCGGGCGAAAUCCCCCGGCUCAACCGGGGAACUGCGCGGGAAACUGUCGAGCUUGAGUUCGGGAGAGGGAAGCGGAAUUCCGGGUGUAGCGGUGAAAUGCGCAGAUAUCCGGAGGAACACCGGUGGCGAAGGCGGCUUCCUGGACCGACACUGACGCUGAGGCGCGAAAGCUAGGGGAGCAAACGGGAUUAGAUACCCCUGUAGUC
rnacentral:rRNA from 1 species